AUGAACAAGAUAAAGUUCAAGUUAUGCAGUCUGGGCGUUAAACUUGUUCACAUCCACUUCCUCUGGCAUCCCCAAAACAACGCACACUAUACACCAGUGAUGCUUCCCAUUGGAUACCAGAUGCAUCCUCCUCCCCAGCCUGUCAGGAAGUGUGAGGAGAGAGUGUGCGGGGAUGCGGCCAUCACUCAAGAGUUCAGCCACGCCCUGGGAGCCCCGUGUCCUCUCUCCUCACCCGUUGCCGGGCGCCGCCAUCUUCUUCAAAAAAUCCUAAUAAAAGAAGAAAAAUGGGGAAAUGGCCAAGACAUACGUGAAAAGAUGUUCCACAUAAUUAGCUGUUGUUGUUGUCACUAAGUCAUGUCUGACUCUGCAGCCCCAUGGAUGCACCACGCUGGGCUUCCCUGUCUUUCACUACCUCCUGGAAUUUGCUCAAAUUCAUGUCCAUUGGGCUGGUGAUGAUAUCCAAACAUCGCCCUCAUUAGCCACUAGGGAAAUGCAAAUCAAUGACAACUUCAUACUCACUAGGAUGGUUAUAAUCAAGAUGAACAUUAGCAAAAGCUGGUGAGUGUAUGGAGAAAUGGGAGCACUCACAGAUUGCUAUAUGGAAUAUAAAAUGGUGCAGGAACUUUAGAAAACAGUUAAACAUCAAAAUGUUAAACAGAGUUACCAUGUGACCCAGCAAUUCUACUCCUAGGCAUAUAGUUUACAGAACUGGAAACAUGUUCACACAAAACCUUGUAUCCAAACCUUCCUAGCUAUUAUAUGUUCAUAAUAGUCAAAACAUGGAAACAGUCCAAGUGUCCAUCAAUAAGAGAAUGGGCAAACUGUGCUAAAAAUCAUAAAAUGUUUUUGGCUAUAAAAAAGGAAUGAAGUACAGAUGCAUGCUACAACAUGGAUGAACCUUGAAAACGAUUAUGCUAAGUUAAAGAAGCUGCUUACAAAAUGUCACAAAUUGUAUGCUUCCAUGUGUGUGAAAUGCCCAAGAUAGGUAAUUCCAUGAAGGCAGAAAGAUUUGUGGUAAUAUGGAGAAAUACUAAUGGGUAUAGAGUUUCUUCUUGGGAUGAUGAAAUGCUCUACAUUUAGGUACCGAUGAUGGGUGCACGUAUCUGUGAAUAUACCAGAAACCACUGAGUGCAGACUUUCAACAAAUGAAUUUUCUCUUACGUGAAUUAUCACUUUAAAAAAAGUUUUAAAGGAAUGGAAAAACAUUCAUCAUGCAGACACCAACUGAAAGAAAGCUGGAGUAGGCACCUGACAUAGUGAAACCUAUAGAAACAGAAGACAGAACUGUGGUUGUCAGAGGGAUGGAAGAGGAAGAAAGGGGGACUUGUUCAGUGGGCUCUGUGAGUUUCUAUGAGUUUCAGUUUCACACUAUGAAAAAGUUCUAGAGAUCUGUUGUACAACAAUGUGAAUAUACUUAACACCGCUGAACUGUACACUUGAAAAAUGGUUAAGAUGGUAAAUUUUUUACCACAAUUUAAAAGAUCGUUUUUAGAUCUCAGCACAACUAUGAAAAAACACAUUAAAAAGAAAGCUGGAGUGGCCAACUACAUCUGCUGUUAUUCAGUCACUAAAUCAUGUUGGACUCUUUGCAACCCCAUGCUCUAAACAUCAGUCUCCUCUGUUGUCCACUCACUCCCAGAGUUUGCUCAAACUGAUAUCCAUUGAGUUGGUGAUGCUAUCUAACCAUCUCAUCCUCAUCCUUCUCCUUUUACCUUCCAUCUUUCCCUGCAUCAGGGUCUUUUCCAAUGAGUCAGCUCUUCCUAUCAGAUGGCCAAAGUAUUGGAGCUUCAGCUUCAGCAUCAGUUCUUCCAACAAAUAUUCAGGUUGAUUUUCUUUAGGAUUGACUGCUCUGAUCUCCUUGCAGAAUCUUCUCUAGCACUACAAUUCCAAAGCAUUAAUUCUUCAGUACUCAGCCUUCUUUAUGCUCCAACUUUCACAUCUGUACAUGAUUGGAGUGGUUUGUCAUUUCCUCCUCCAGUCGACCACAUUUUGUCAGAACUCUUCACUAUGAUCUGCCAUCUUGGGUGGCCCUGUGCAGCAUGGCUCAUAGCUUCUUUGGGUUAUGCAAGCCCCUUCACCAUAAUGCUAUGAUCCACGAGGGGCCAAUGACAUUAGUAUCAGACAAAGUAGAAUUUAAAGCAAAGAAAAUUAUCAGGGAUAAAGUGGGACAUUACAUAGUGAUGAAACGAUCCAUUCACCAAGAAGACAAUAAUCCUACAUGAUAUGCUUCUAACAACAGAGAUUCAAAAUAUAUAAGCAAAAACUGGCAGAACAGAAAGGAGGAAGAGACAUUCACAAUUUUAGUUGGAGUGGUCAAUACUCUUCUGUCAGUAAUACAUACAUAGAAUGAAUAGACAAAAAAUCAGCAAGAAAAAAUCAGUAGAAUUGAUCAUCAAGCUACUAAAUUUAAUUGACAUUUAUAGAACGCUCUACCCAAUACACAUUCUCUUAGAACAUGUGAAACAUUCACCAAGAUAGGUCAUAAAAUGAACCAAAUCCUAACCAAUUUAAAAGAAUUAAUAUUAUAAAAGAAUUAGAAGAAUUUAAAUUAUGUAAGGUAUGUUCUCUAACCAUGAUACGAUUAACCUAGAAAUCAGUAAAAGAAAAGUCAUUUCUGUUAGAAAACUAGGAAGGAAAAAUCUCCAAAAGGAAAAUCUCCAAAUACUUGUAACAACACACUUUUAAAUACUCCAUGGGUUAAAAAGGAAGUAUCAAGGGAAAUGAGAAAAUAUUUUUACUCAAAUAAGAAUGAAACUACAACAUACCAAACUUUCUGGGUUACAGUUAAAGUACACAAAGUCCAGUGUAGGUCCUGUGCAGAUAUCUACAAGUAGUGAAUAAUAUAUCCAAGGUAUUGUGACUCUGCCAAAACAUACAAGGGCUUGUGGUUGCCCAGAAACGGAAAGGAAAAUAGAACUCGAAUCCAGAAGUCACCUGUUCAUUUGUAUCGCCAUCGGCUAUGAUGAGUGACAUGACUUCAUGUAACUUGAAAGGGAAGUUUGCAGAAGUUUGUUGGGGCACCCGGAUAAUCAGUGAGCCCUAAUAUCAAUAUAUCUGUUACAGUGACUGCGAGUGUAACAGGGUUCCAUGGACCAGGGUGAUAAUGGCAAAGGAAGGAAGUGUGAGGAUUUGGAAUAUUGGUUCAGUUGGUAAAGAAUCCGCCUGAAUGUGGGAGACCUAGGUUUGAUCCCCUGGUUGGGAAGAUCCCCUGGAGAAGGGAAUGGCUACCCACUCCAGUAUUCUGGUCUGGAGAAUUCCACGGACUAUACAUACAGUCCAUGGGGUGGCAAAGAGUUGGACAUGCCUAAGCAACUUUCACUUUUGGAGGCAGAGCCAAUAGGACUGCUGAUAGAUGCCAGGGUACAAGAAUGGGGGAAGGCAAGAAGGAGGCCUGAUUUAUGAAAAUGAGUCAGUCACCUUAGAAACCUGAGAGAGGAAAUAGUAAGUGCAAAGACCUUGAAAUAAAAGCAGUUUUAUGGUGUUUUAGGAACAGACUGUGGAAAUGUAAUAAACUUGGGGGAUAGUAGUAGAAUAUGAUGUCAGGAGGUAAGAAGGAAUCAGAUCAUAUGGUGCCAUUUAGGCUGUUAAAAGGGAGUUUUUAUCUCAUCCCAUUGAAAACAGGAAGUCACCAAAGGAUUUUUUUUUAAUUAAUUUAUUUGGUUGUGCCAGUCUUAGUUGCAACAUGCGAGUUCUUAGUGGCAGCAUGUGGGAUCUAGUUCCUAACCAGGGAUCGAACCCAAACACUCUGCGUUGGGAGCAUGGAGUCUUGCCACUGGACCACCAGGGAAGACCCUGGUUUUAAGGAUUUUAAACAAAGGGCUGACAUUAUUAGCUUUAGGUUUAAGAGCAAUCCUGCUGGCUCCCAUAUGAGUAAGAGAGGGAUAAACUGUGAGCCAGUUAGGAGACUACUGCUGUAGACCAGGUAAAAGAUGAUAGUAGUCUGAACUAUGGUGAUAACAAGAGAUAGAGACUGAGAUACGCAAAUAAAUAUGGAAUGUAUUUUUUUGGUAAUAGGAUUGAUUAGGACCAAGUGAGUCAUCAGGUUACCUGGUUAUAAUAUAUUCAAGGUGUUGUGACUCUGCCAAAACAUACAAGGUCUUGUGGUUGCCCAGGAAUGGAAAGAAAAAUAGAAUUUGAAUCCAGAAGUGACCUGGUCAUUUAUAGCUCCAUUGGCUAUAGCCAAAAUAUUUUUGAUAGCUACUUAGGCUCUGGAAAGACCAACUGGCAAUUGGACUCAAAGCAUUCAAUUGUUGAGCCUCUAUUACAAAUUCAUAGCAAUGAUAUGGAAACUAAAACGAGAAAACAAAUAGAAAAAAAAAAAGAAGAAAUUUGCUGGAGCCUAAGCCAAGAUAAGUGUUUCUAUGGACUAGAAAUGGGGAAAACAUCACAAAAUCAUGUGUCAGCAGAACCCAGGGGGAUGCUAGCCACUAUUUUAGACCAAAAGUAAUCCAGAAAUAGUUUUCUUGUUCUCCUGGGUGCUUGACACCAGCAGCAGCAGCUCUGUUAUAGCUUCUUGUUUACACGGAUUGUAGAAACCUAGGAAUGGGGAAUCAAGCUGCUUCUGGCUGGCUCUGCAAUUUCAGCCUCCAGGCUGAGUACUGGAGUCCAGGACAGGAAAGAGGCACCCUAGGAAAAGAAAUGUGGAUAUAUCAAACCAGUCAAUCCUAGAGGAAAUCAACCUUGAAUAUUUUAUUGGAAGGACUGAUGCUGAAGCUCCAAUAUUCUGGCCACCCGAUGCGAAGAGUCAACUCAUUGGAAAAAACCCUGAUGCUAGGAAAGAUUGAGGACAAGAGGAGAAAAGGGCGACACACAAUGAGAUGGCUGGAUGGCAUCACCAACUCAGUGGACAUGAGUUUGAGCGCACUCUGAGAGACACUGAAGGACAGGGAAGCCUGAUGUGCUGCAAUUCAUUGGGUCAGAUACGACUUACUGACUGAACAGCAACAACAAGAAGCAAAUAAACAAAAACUGUCUUUUCCACUCUAAAUGGAACUACAAAAUAAAAUUGCAAAACAUCAAGAACUCAAAUGCUAAAAAGGACUUCCCUGGUGGCUCAGACAGUAAAGAAUCUGCCUGCAAUGCAGGAGACCAGGGUUCAAUCCCUGAAUCUGGAAGAUUCCCUGGAGACGGGACUGGCUACACACUCCAGUAUUUUUGCCUGGAGAAGUCCAUGGACAGAGGAGCUGGGCAGGCUAUAUAGUCCAUGGGGUCGCGAAGAGUCA
rnacentral:lncRNA from 1 species